UAGUAUCAAUAGAAGAAAUUUAUACCAAUGC
rnacentral:piRNA from 1 species